UACAGAGGGUGCGAGCGUUGUCCGGAAUCAUUGGGCGUAAAGCGCGCGUAGGCGGCCCGGUAAGUCCGCUGUGAAAGUCAAAGGCUCAACCUUUGAAUGCCGGUGGAUACUGUCGGGCUAGAGUCCGGAAGAGGCGAGUGGAAUUCCUGGUGUAGCGGUGGAAUGCGCAGAUAUCAGGAGGAACACCAAUGGCGAAGGCAGCUCGCUGGGACGGUACUGACGCUGAGACGCGAAAGCGUGGGGAGCAAACAGG
rnacentral:rRNA from 1 species